GCCACCUUUUAAGUGCUGGAGCCCAACAGACUGAGCAGUUAGGAGACAUAGACCAGACAUGAGCACUUGUAAUGAAGAUGUCUAACAACAAGGUGCAGACAGUUGCAGAUUCCCGACGAGCCAGGGACUGGCUGAUUGGCUGUUCUGUCUUGUGCCCUGGACAGGAUAUCAUCUUAUACUGUAAGUUUUUUAAAGAGACACUACAGUAUAGAUGAUGUACUAUCCAGGGUAUCAUUCCACCUCCGCCGAAGGAGACUCGGGCUGAAACGUCAGGGGGCCGAACACACAGCCGAGGGGGGCAGUUAAACCGUUACCAUUACUGAGUUUUAGUAAUGGUAAGGGUUCCACGGCCUUCGCUCAAUGACGACGAGGGAAAGGACGAGCUGGCGCUUUGUUACAUUUAAACCAAUAAUGUCAAAUAAAAAUGAUGUGGUUGUCUCCCAUA